UAUGAUACAUCAGUUUUCAUCAAACAAUAUAUUGAUAGACACCCAGAUAUCUUGUCAAAAAAUGAAGAUAUACAUGCAUACAAUACAAGGCAAAAAUCUGACCUUCAUAUAAAACAGAAUAGAAGAAUCUGUCAGGAAGAAACAUUUUUAGUUUGUUUUCAAAUUUUACAUUGCUGCCUGCCAAACAUUUUACAUCACUGGAUGACUAUUAACAGAAGAGAACAUGCAAAUCAAUAAUGACUGAAAACCUUAACUACUGAAGACUUAACAAUGGCCGGCUGGAGUGGCCGUGCGGUUCUAGGCACUACAGUCUGGAGCCGAGCGACCGCUACGGUCGCAGGUUCGAAUCCUGCCUCGAGCAUGGAUGUGUGUGAUGU